AUGAACGCUGGCGGCGUGCCUAAUACAUGCAAGUCGAACGCAUAGCGAAAGGUGCUUGCACCUUUCAAGUGAGUGGCGAACGGGUGAGUAACACGUGGACAACCUGCCUCAAGGCUGGGGAUAACAUUUGGAAACAGAUGCUAAUACCGAAUAAAACUUAGUGUCGCAUGACACAAAGUUAAAAGGCGCUUCGGCGUCACCUAGAGAUGGAUCCGCGGUGCAUUAGUUAGUUGGUGGGGUAAAGGCCUACCAAGACAAUGAUGCAUAGCCGAGUUGAGAGACUGAUCGGCCACAUUGGGACUGAGACACGGCCCAAACUCCUACGGGAGGCUGCAGUAGGGAAUCUUCCACAAUGGGCGAAAGCCUGAUGGAGCAACGCCGCGUGUGUGAUGAAGGCUUUCGGGUCGUAAAGCACUGUUGUAUGGGAAGAACAGCUAGAAUAGGAAAUGAUUUUAGUUUGACGGUACCAGACCAGAAAGGGACGGCUAAAUACGUG
rnacentral:rRNA from 1 species